rnacentral:rRNA from 1 species
AGAGUUUGAUCCUGGCUCAGGAUGAACCCUGGCGGCGUGCCUAAUACAUGCAAGUCGAACGCACAGCGAAAGGUGCUUGCACCUUUCAAGUGAGUGGCGAACGGGUGAGUAACACGUGGAUAAUCUACCUCAAGGUUGGGGAUAACAUUCGGAAACAGAUGCUAAUACCGAAUAAAACUUCGUAUCGCAUGAUACAAGGUUAAAAGGCGCUACGGCGUCACCUAGAGAUGGAUCCGCGGUGCAUUAGUUAGUUGGUGGGGCAAAGGCCUACCAAGACAAUGAUGCAUAGCCGAGUUGAGAGACUGAUCGGCCACAUUGGGACUGAGACACGGCCCAAACUCCUAUGGGAGGCUGCAGUAGGGAAUCUUCCACAAUGGGCGAAAGCCUGAUGGAGCAACGCCGCGUGUGUGAUGAAGGCUUUCGGGUCGUAAAGCACUGUUGUAUGGGAAGAACAGCUAGAGUAGGGAAUGACUUUAGUUUGACGGUACCAUACCAGAAAGGGACGGCUAAAUACGUGCCAGCAGCCGCGGUAAUACGUAUGUCCCGAGCGUUAUCCGGAUUUAUUGGGCGUAAAGCGAGCGCAGACGGUUGAUUAAGUCUGAUGUGAAAGCCCGGAGCUCAACUCCGGAAAGGCAUUGGAAACUGGUCAACUUGAGUGCAGUAGAGGUAAGUGGAACUCCAUGUGUAGCGGUGGAAUGCGUAGAUAUAUGGAAGAACACCAGCGGCGAAGGCGGCUUACUGGACUGUAACUGACGUUGAGGCUCGAAAGUGUGGGUAGCAAACAGAAUUAGAUACCCUGGUAGUCCACACCGUAAACGAUAACUAUAUAGGUGUUAGGAGGUUUCCGCCUCUUAGUGCCGAAGCUAACGCAUU